UUGUAUAAUAUCCCUAGAGAUUGUUUUUCUCCUCAGAGUGUUGAUAGCUUGGUAGACCAAUAAGGUACAUAACUUUUGAAGAUUUUUUUACCGGUUUUAAUUAUUUUGGUAAUCGUAUCUGUAGUGCAUGCAUGUACGUAUAUUAUAUGCAAUUUCGACCAUUUCCCCUUGUCCAAUCGAAAUUUGGGCUUCUUUGAACUUUUACUGGAUAAAGAGGUUGAUAGGUGAGUUAUUAUUGGGAAAUUAUCACUGCUACAUAUGUACGUAGAUUAAUUAAGUUUUGGCUGUUUAGUUUAGGGGCGAUAGCAGAAGAACAAAGGACUAGGUCUAUAUCCGUGAGCAAAAUAUGAGUAAAAAAGUAAAAGUGCGUAGGAUAGCCGUUUAAAAUGAUCAAGCUUACCGCUACCAUAAAACACAAGGUACUUUAGGAUUUUACCUCUUCGGUUAUUACAUCUGGAACCCCAAAGAGGACUCCAAUAUGAGAAAAAAGAAAAAAGUGAGAAGGAAUUAUUAAUCUUCAUCGUCGUAGUGAGAGAUGGAAUUUGUUUGUAGAGAAUUGGUUAUGUAUUUUUGUGGAAUGAGUGGGAUACCUGUUUGGUUGAGUUUUGUUUUAGUUUGGGUAAACUUUAAGUUAAGAGUGUUUUUAGCAGCAGUUAGCAAAUCACGUUAAUUAUUUUUAUACUCUUACAUCAUGUUGCUGCAGAGUAUAUUAAUUUUGUUCUUCUACCGGUUGUUUGUAUCACCUAAAAACACCCGAGAAAGAUAUAGGGUUAUUUAUAAAUAAAUGAUCAAGACCGGCUUUGGUAAUUGGUGGAGUUUAGACAUUUUCGAUUGGUCAAAUUGUGUGAUAUUCGAUCGUUCGGUAUGUAUGGAAGCUAUAUGCUAUAGUGAGCCGAUCUGAACAAUUUCAUCCGAUAUUACAUAAUUUCUAUGAACAAUAACUCAUACCAAAUUUCGUGAAGAUAUAUUGUCAAAUGAGGAAGUUUCCAAUGCAAGCAUUUGAUUCCGAUCAUUCAGUUUGGAGCUAUAUGCUAUAGCUAGCCGAUCUGAACAAUUUCGUCGUAUAUUACAUUAUUAUCUUAGAAAAUAACCUGUGCCAACUUUUGUGAAGAUACAUUGUCAAAUGUGAAAGUUUCCAUACAAGAACUUGAUUCCGAUCGUUCAGUUUGUAUGGCAGCUAUAUGUUAUAGUGGUCCGAUAUCGGCAGUUCCGACAAAUGAGCAGCUUCUUGAAGAGAAAAUAACGUUUGCAAAAUUUCAAAAUGAUAUCUUAAAAACUGCUGGAUUAGUUCGUAUAUAUACAGACGGACAGACAGACGGACAUGGCUAAAUCGACUCAGCUCAAUAUACUGAUCAUUUAUAUAUGUACAUUAUAUACUUUAUAGGGUCCUCGACGCUUUCUUCUGGGUCUUACAAACUUCGUGGCAAACUUAAUAUACCCUGUUCAGUGUAUAAUAACAACACAGAGCUAAUGCUGGAGAACACUAAUUUUCGUAUGCAUGGAUAUUUAGUAUAUGUUUUAUACUGAUUGUUGCUCCUAAACAAGCGAGUUGCAUUCACAACAAACCAAACGUGAUAUUUAACAUAAAAAAAUAACGGAAUAACGACAGUGUUGAUUAAAACAUCUAUUAUAAUUUGAGGUAUACAGAGGCACACAUUUUGCACAGAGCUUUCGCCUCUUUAGGGCGUCAUUGUCCUCCGUGCUAUUUUCGCCUCUUUCCAACUUAGCAAAUUUCUAUUCAACGGUGGAUUUCCCUGGUGAAGAACCCAAAUUCAACAGUAUUUUUCCCCAAAAAGCAAUUAUCACACGAAAUAUUUUUUUAUCCAUUUUUUGUAAACUAACACAAGCUGCUUCACCCAAAAUGCUAUAUCUCAUUAACUAAUAGCUCAUCAGUUUCCAAAUGUAAUUUUACAGUAAUACCACAAAAACUAUGUAAUUUCUUUGUUGUUGUUCUCUGCUGGGGGAUUAAAGUAAACUUGGACAAUCUUUUUAUACUCUUGCAACAUGUUGCCACAUGUUGUUCACCUAACGGUUGUUUAUACCACCUAAAACUACUAUAUGUAUGUAUAUAAAUGAUCAAAAUGAUGAGACCAGUUGAAUUCCGCGUCGACUGUCUGUCUGUAAUUUGAGUCAAAAUUCCGAAAAUGUAAUGAAAUUUGAUAAACAUGAUGCCUGACAAAAAAGUAAAGCCGAGUUUGUAGAAGAGCUUAAUAGGAUUACUGCCACUCCCACUAAAUGCCAUAAGUCGAAAACUAAUAAAGAGCUAUAACUAAGCAAGAAAUUAAGAUACAAAACUGUAAUUUGCACAGGAAAUUACAGUAGCAAAGGGCACCUAUGGGCACAAAGUAUUGAAAAAAUUUGCGCAGCGCUUACGCGGUUAUAGCCGAGAUAACAACAGCGCCAGUCGAUUCUUCUUUUCGUUAUUUGACGCGUCUUGCUCCACCUGAUCUCUCUAACUGAAUGGAGGCCUUCCUCUUCCUCAGCUUCCACCGACGGGUACUGAACAGAAAACGUUCAAAGCUGGAGUGGAGAUAAAGCAGAACAAACGGCGCAGUUGUUGAGGCUUUUAUAAUAGACUAGCUGAUUCGGCGAACUUGGUGCCGCCUAACAGUCAAAGAGUGUGAUGUUACAGAUAAGCAGAACUUUAUGAUUUUUUGAAAGCAAUACAAUGAAUACAUAUAAUGUUUAUAGCGGCCCGGUACGUGUUUCACUACGUAUGAAGUGAAAUAUUAAAUCAAACUCAUUUAUAAAAAAAAAAUAUAUAUUUAAUUAUUUGCUAGCUAUUCUUGAGUUAUAAAGUCACAACGAAAAAUGGCAUUCAUUUUUAUAUAUGUAUAUAGAUGCACUGCCGUUAUGGCUUUAUGUCAACUUCAAUAAGCUUAAUCCAAAACAUUUGGAUAAACAAUAAUUUUUCUUUUUCCAUUUUGAGCAUGAAUAAACAAACGGCUGGGGGUACCGACUCUGGAACAGACAACAUAAAGUUGGCCAUGAUUCCUCCAAAUUCACGCCACAAACGUUAAGUGUUUGCCCUUGAGCUUUGUUGAUGGACAUCGCAAAUGAUAAACGCAAAGGAUAUUAUUCAAGCAAUGCGGUGGCAUACCAGCCGGUUCUAAUGAAUUCAAAAAUUCAGUUGGAUAAUUCAUUGCCUCAUCUUGAUUCAUAGCACUGUCAAUUGAUUUAUAUGUCGUGACUACGCCUGGGAGUUUUGCUUGAAUUUGAAAAUUAAUGCAUUGAUAUGAAUGUUCUUCGGUGCUAAAAUGGCGCGUUCUGUCAACCAAUCAUGGUUUCUGUAAUUCUGAAGAAUAUUUGGAAAAACACAUUCAAUCAAUUCAUCUAUCGAUUUCGUAAUUGUACAAAAAUUGUUCGGUACAGUGAUCAAUCCGUUGGUUCUGUCGAUUUGUAUUUUGCCAUCACCAAUUUGUAACAAUUGUUCUGAAAACUCAUGGGCAGCUGGAUCAUUUUGUAGGUGAAUACGCAUAUUAAUGUUCAGUGUCAAUUUUUGUACAUAUCUCCAGAACUAAUGACUUCAGACAGGCAUUUAUUUCAUCAGCAGGAGUUGACCGAGGAAUGACAGGCAAUGUUUGUCGAAAAUCCCCUGGCUGUAAUAUCAAAGCAUCACCAAAAAGCUGUUGGUUAUCACGUAAAUCUUGCAUUGUUCGAUUAAAUGCUUCUAAUAAUUUUUUAUUCGCCAUUGUACACUCAUCCCAUAAAAUAAAUGACGUUAAUCGCAGAACUUUUGCCAUAGCAGAAUUUCUUGAAAUAUUGCAAGUUGGAGUUUCAAUCACCUGUAUAUUCAAUGGCAAUUUUAAUGCAGAGUGUGCUGCCCGACCACCUUCUAAUAAUGUAGCAGCAAUUCCCGAAGAUGCAAGUGCCAAUGUAAUUUUCAGUUCCGAUCGAAUAGUGGCUAAAAUCAGUGAUAUAACGAACGUUUUGCCUAUACCACCAGGUGCAUCCAAGAAAUAUAACCCACCUGCAUUAUUGGAAAUGGCUUGCAUGAUUGUGUCAUAGACAUGUUUUUGCUGAAUAUUCAUUUUGGUUAUAUUCGAUUGUACAAAUAAACGCAAAUCAUUAGAAUUGAA